GCCCUGGGACUUCUGGCCACGGUCACUCUGUGUCAUGGUGAUUGUUUCCUUUAUCCCAACCCACCUCGUCCAGUCAAUGGUAAAGUCCCCUCAGGUUGCAUGGAUAUUCAAGGUGUGUUACACCCCACUGGUUCUAAAUGGAUAAAUGAAUAUUGCUACAGAUGUGUUUGUA